rnacentral:rRNA from 1 species
GACGAACGCUGGCGGCGUGCUUAACACAUGCAAGUCGAACGGAAAGGCCCUGCUUUUGUGUGGUGCUCGAGUGGCGAACGCGUGAGUAACACGUGAGUAACCUGCCCUUGACUGUGGGAUAACUUCAGGAAACUCGGGCUAAUACCGGAUAGGAUCUCCUGCUGCAUGGUGGGGGUUGGAAAGUUUCGGCGGUUUGGGCUGGACUCGCGGCUUAUCAGCUUGUUGGUGGGGUAGUGGCUUACCAGGGCUUUGACGGAUAGCCGGCCUGGGAGGGUGACCGGCGACAUUGGGACUGAGGUAGGGCCCAGAAUGCUACGGGAGGCGGCAGUGGGGAAUCUUGCACAACGGGGGGAAGCGAGAUGCAGAAACGUCCGGUGCGGGAUGACGUCCUUCGGGUUGUAAACCGAUUUCGCCGGUGACGAAGCGAGAGUGACGGUAAUGGGUAAAAAAGCACCGGCUAACUACGUG